UAUAACAUUAUAUAUACUAAAAGCCAGUUGAGUUUGGCACUGUUCAGCAAUAAUAAAAGGGCGGAAAUGCCCUUCAAAUAAUUUUCUCAGCUGGGUUUCUCUCGGCUUCUGUACAGUGAAAGGGCUGUUUUGCCCUUUUGAUUCCACGCUUCCAUCAUCCGUGUAUGUUUUGGCUUUGGUUAUUCUGGAUCUUUCUUUUGCUUUCGCCAAUUCUCUCUCGCAUAUCUCCAGUUGCUUUGUUUCUCGCCGUCUUUUUUCUUCGCCUUCGCUUCUGUUUUCUUUAUCGUGUUGCUUCGUUGUUCAAAACGUCGACCAUUUUGCUUAGUUGUUCUUCGAUUAAUGGUCACAGUUGUUAAAUUCUCUGCCUUUUUGGUUCGAUUCCAAUAAUUUUUUGGGUUUUUGGUUGGUUGGAUCCGGGUUUUCCAAAAAUUUUGUGCCCAUCUUGGGUUCGCUUCGGACUUGGUUGCGACCGAUCUAAUCCGGCGUUUCCAGAUUCGGGAAACGGUCCCUUUCAGAUUUUUGGAUUUUCGAUUCUGAUUCUUGGAACUCUUUAUGCUAAAGGGCGGAGAUCGGGAUGAGAAGA